UGUCUGGAUGGCUUAGAGGUCAAAGCAUCUGCCUAUUAAGCAGGAGAUCCAGGUUCAAAUCCUGGUCUGGCAA